rnacentral:rRNA from 1 species
UGGGGAAUUUUGGACAAUGGGCGAAAGCCUGAUCCAGCAAUGCCGCGUGUGUGAAGAAGGCCUUCGGGUUGUAAAGCACUUUUGUCCGGAAAGAAAUGGCUCUGGUUAAUACCUGGGGUCGAUGACGGUACCGGAAGAAUAAGGACCGGCUAACUACGUGCCAGCAGCCGCGGUAAUACGUAGGGUCCAAGCGUUAAUCGGAAUUACUGGGCGUAAAGCGUGCGCAGGCGGUUGUGCAAGACCGAUGUGAAAUCCCCGAGCUUAACUUGGGAAUUGCAUUGGUGACUGCACGGCUAGAGUGUGUCAGAGGGGGGUAGAAUUCCACGUGUAGCAGUGAAAUGCGUAGAGAUGUGGAGGAAUACCGAUGGCGAAGGCAGCCCCCUGGGAUAACACUGACGCUCAUGCACGAAAGCGUAGGGAGCAAACAGG